rnacentral:rRNA from 1 species
GAUGAACGCUAGCUACAGGCUUAACACAUGCAAGUCGAGGGGAAACGAUAUUGGAAGCUUGCUUCCGAUAGGCGUCGACCGGCGCACGGGUGAGUAACGCGUAUCCAACCUGCCCACCACUUGGGGAUAACCUUGCGAAAGUAAGACUAAUACCCAAUGAUAUCUCUAGAAGACAUCUGAAAGAGAUUAAAGAUUUAUCGGUGAUGGAUGGGGAUGCGUCUGAUUAGCUUGUUGGCGGGGUAACGGCCCACCAAGGCAACGAUCAGUAGGGGUUCUGAGAGGAAGGUCCCCCCACAUUGGAACUGAGACACGGUCCAAACUCCUACGGGAGGCAGCAGUGAGGAAUAUUGGUCAAUGGACGAGAGUCUGAACCAGCCAAGUAGCGUGCAGGAUGACGGCCCUAUGGGUUGUAAACUGCUUUUAUAAGGGAAUAAAGUGAGUCUCGUGAGACUUUUUGCAUGUACCUUAUGAAUAAGGACCGGCUAAUUCCGUGCCAGCA